CCUACGGGUGGCAGCAGUCGAGAAUCAUUCACAAUGGGGGAAACCCUGAUGGUGCGACGCCGCGUGGGGGAAUGAAGGUCUUCGGAUUGUAAACCCCUGUCAUGUGGGAGCAAAUUAAAAAGAUAGUACCACAAGAGGAAGAGACGGCUAACUCUGUGCCAGCCGCCGCAGUAAUACAGAGGUCUCAAGCGUUGUUCGGAAUCACUGGGCGGAAAGCGUGCGUAGGCUGUUUCGUAAGUCGUGUGUGAAAGGCGCGGGCUCAACCCGCGGACGGCACAUGAUACUGCGAGACUAGAGUAAUGGAGGGGGAACCGGAAUUCUCGGUGUAGCAGUGAAAUGCGUAGAUAUCGAGAGGAACACUCGUGGCGAAGGCGGGUUCCUGGACAUUAACUGACGCUGAGGCACGAAGGCCAGGGGAGCGAAAGGGAUUAGAUACCCGGGUAGUC
rnacentral:rRNA from 1 species